AGAGCGCGCCAGCGCGCGGAGCGGAGUCGCCGGGACUCGCACCGCGCGGGAGGCGGCCGGCGCGGGCUCUGGGCGCGGGCGCAGCGCCCCUUCCCCCCGGGCGUCGUGACAGGAGCCGUCCCAGAAUCAUAGCCGGAGCUCCCCAACCGGAGGUGGUGGUGAGGAAGGGCAGCGGCUUGGGACCAGACCCAGACUCUCUGUGUCCCCACCUGUGCGUCCGCAGCUGCGAGGUACUGAGGCAGGGGCUCUGAGGAAGAGGAAUUUACCUGGGGCUCUGAAAGUUCUGGAGUUUGUCCUGUAGACGAGAGAGGCAAAGGGAAGAGGCCAUUGCAGCCCGAGGGAGCAAGCCUGGAAGUGAGGGCACUGGGGGCUGCCCCCAGACUGAAGGGAGGAGGAGGCCCACGGAGGGGAGGCUGGUCAGGGUGUGUUGGGCUCUGUCCGUGGGACCAGGGUGUCCGGGCUUCAUGUGUGGGCACCAGGGAGCAGCUGUGCUGUCUGAGGAGGGGUACAGCGGCCAGAGGACUUUUUUUGGCCAGGGGGGCAGGUAGGGUGUGGCUGG
ensembl:lncRNA